rnacentral:misc_RNA from 1 species
AAAGUCGUAACAAGGUAACCGUAGGUGAACCUGCGGUUGGAUCAUUAAUAAAUUCAACGGGACCGGUCAGUUUCGGCUGAUGCGGUCUCUGGCCUUCGGGCCUUAAACCCACUGUGAACUGUAUACUUGGUCUGAGCUUGCUUAGGCCAAAUUUUUUAAACAUUAUCUUGAGUGUCUUAUCCAAAAAUCAAUUAAAACAACUUUUGACAACGGAUCUCUAGGCUCUC